ACAUCUAACCAGCCAUUCAUUGAAGACAAAUGAAUUCCUUCACUAAUGGUAGUAAGCGAACAGCUUCUUCAUGAUCUCCAUUCUCAAACGCAUCCCAACACUUGCGCUCUAACGACAUCUUGUGAUCAGUUAAUUAGAUUCAUUGAUACCCGCCCAUACAUUAGGAGUCCUGCCCACAUACCAAAGUGCAAACCAGAUUGCUUCAUUUUAAUUCGACUAUAGUAGUACAAACCACAAAAUGAACAAAAAUUUUAGUGACAAAAAGUUGCAUUCGACUUAGUAUACACUAUCAGCUAUCCCAUUUA